AGGCAGCAGUGGGGAAUAUUGCACAAUGGGCGCAAGCCUGAUGCAGCCAUGCCGCGUGUAUGAAGAAGGCCUUCGGGUUGUAAAGUACUUUCAGCAGUGAGGAAGGUGGGUAUGUUAAUAGCAUACUCAUUUGACGUUAGCUGCAGAAGAAGCACCGGCUAACUCCGUGCCAGCAGCCGCGGUAAUACGGAGGGUGCGAGCGGUUAAUCGGAAUUACUGGGCGUAAAGCGCAUGCAGGUGGUUUGUUAAGUCAGAUGUGAAAGCCCCGGGGCUCAACCUCGGAAUUGCAUUUGAAACUGGCAAACUAGAGUACUGUAGAGGGGGUAGAAUUUCAGGUGUAGCGGUGAAAUGCGUAGAGAUCUGAAGGAAUACCGGUGGCGAAGGCGGCCCCCUGGACAGAUACUGACACUCAGAUGCGAAAGCGUGGGGAGCAAACAGGAUUAGAUACCCUGGUAG
rnacentral:rRNA from 1 species